rnacentral:rRNA from 1 species
CUACGGGUGGCUGCAGCGGGGAAUAUUGCACAAUGGAGGAAACUCUGAUGCAGCAACGCCGCGUGGAGGAUGACACUUUUCGGAGCGUAAACUCCUUUUAUAUAGGAAGAAGAUGACGGUACUAUAUGAAUAAGCGCCGGCUAACUCCGUGCCAGCAGCCGCGGUAAUACGGAGGGCGCAAGCGUUACUCGGAAUCACUGGGCGUAAAGAGCGUGUAGGCGGAUUAAAAAGUCAGAAGUGAAAUCCUAUAGCUUAACUAUAGAACUGCUUCUGAAACUCUUAAUCUAGAAUAUGGGAGAGGUAGAUGGAAUUUCUGGUGUAGGGGUAAAAUCCGUAGAGAUCAGAAGGAAUACCGAUUGCGAAGGCGAUCUACUAGAACAUUAUUGACGCUGAGACGCGAAAGCGUGGGGAGCAAACAGGAUUAGAUACCCUUGUAGUC